rnacentral:lncRNA from 1 species
UCUUUAGUAAACAAAAUUGAUUUUAAAAAGAUAGAUUUUUAGGUUUUUUUGAUGCAAUAUUUAUUAUUUUAAUUAUUGGUGAAAUUGUAAAAUAAUAUCAUAUUGUUGGUAUUAUUAUUAUAGAAAAUUUUAUCAGAAAAUAAUAAUUUAUAAUAACUUUAAUAUGUUUUGUGUGUAAACCCUAUAAAAAACUAAUUUAGGAACACUUAAUUUGGUGUAGGUAAAUCUAUUUUCAUAUCCAUUCGUUAGGUCUCCCAUCAUGCACCACGAAUCAAAUAAGCAUCAUUACCCAAGUUUUUUUUUUUAAUCUGAAAAUCGUCUUAUUGUUGAAGAGAGAACCAACGACGACGGUGAAGCUUUGAGUUAUGUCAACGAUGCAUAUGCGGUGUGUUUUGGAAAACAAAAAUGUGUGAUUGCAAUAUUUUAAUUUAAUCUUGUAUAAACCUCUCUAAUUUAUUUUGACAAAUGUCUCCUAACGACAUGUAUAUGAUCCCUAUUAUUCAUUACUUUGGCUUGAAGAGGACUUGUUGUACUCAAAACUUAUUAACCAAAAACACAAGUUAUUUCCAUAUGCACAUCGACAAAUGUAGAGCCUUAACAAAGAAGAUGAUUCAAUCACUCGUCAUCAAACUAUUGUUUAUGUACAAUCUUGUCAACAUAAGCAUCUUAUUAUACAAACACAGGGUAGGAACAUUUCUAAAACCACUUUUUCAUUAGGCAUUUUUAUCUUCUUUUUUUUUGGGGUCUAUAAUCAAAACCACUGCUACGCCAAGCUCUUGUAAAAGAAGCUGUUCCUUUUUGUAAUAUUAUUCACAUUUUAUAAUUAAAAAAAAACAAGGUUAGAGGCUUAUAGAAGAGAAAAAGCUGAAAGAAUAAUUUGUAGAUUUUUUU